rnacentral:rRNA from 1 species
CGCGUAGGCGGUCUUGUCGGUCAGAUGUGAAAGCCCGGGGCUCAACCCUGGAAGUGCAUUUGAAACAGCAAGACUUGAAUACUGGAGAGGAGAGCGGAAUUCCUGGUGUAGAGGUGAAAUUCGUAGAUAUCAGGAGGAACACAGAUGGCGAAGGCAGCUCUCUGGACAGAUAUUGACGCUGAGGAGCGAAGGUGUGGGUAGCGAACAGGAUUAGAUACCCUGGUAGUCC